UACAGAGGGUGCGAGCGUUGUCCGGAAUCACUGGGCGUAAAGGGCGCGUAGGCGGCGGGAUAAGCGUGUGGUGAAAGUCCGGGGCUCAACCCCGGAUCGGCCAUGCGAACUGUCUCGCUGGAGCACGGUAGAGGCACAUGGAAUUCCGGGUGUAGCGGUGGAAUGCGUAGAGAUCCGGAAGAACACCGGUGGCGAAGGCGGUGUGCUGGGCCGUAGCUGACGCUGAGGCGCGACAGCGUGGGGAGCAAACAGG
rnacentral:rRNA from 1 species